GGGAAUAUAGCUGAGUGGUAUAGCACUUGCCUAGCAUGUAAGAGGUCCUAGGUUUGAUCCCC
rnacentral:tRNA from 1 species